rnacentral:rRNA from 1 species
UGGGGAAUAUUGCACAAUGGGCGCAAGCCUGAUGCAGCCAUGCCGCGUGUAUGAAGAAGGCCUUCGGGUUGUAAAGUACUUUCAGCGGGGAGGAAGGGAGUAAGGUUAAUACCUUUGCUCAUUGACGUUACCCGCAGAAGAAGCACCGACUAACUCCGUGCCAGCAGCCGCGGUAAUACGGAGGGUGCAAGCGUUAAUCGGAAUUACUGGGCGUAAAGCGCACGCAGGCGGUUUGUUAAGUCAGAUGUGAAAUCCCCGGGCUCAACCUGGGAACUGCAUCUGAUACUGGCAAGCUUGAGUCUCGUAGAGGGGGGUAGAAUUCCAGGUGUAGCGGUGAAAUGCGUAGAGAUCUGGAGGAAUACCGGUGGCGAAGGCGGCCCCCUGGACGAAGACUGACGCUCAGGUGCGAAAGCGUGGGGAGCAAACA